rnacentral:rRNA from 1 species
AGCUCGUGCCGUGAGGUGUCGGGUUAAGUCCCAUACGAGCGCAACCCUAUCAUAGUUGCCAUCAGGUCAAGCUGGGGACUCUAAUGAAACUGCCUACGCAAGUAGUGAGGAAGGUGGGGAUGACGUCAAAUCAGCACGGCCCUUACGUCCAGGGCUACACACGUGCUACAAUGGCCGGUACAAAGGGCAGCUACCUGGUGACAGGAUGCUAAUCUCAAAAGCCGGUCUCAGUUCGGAUCGGAGUCUGCAACCCGACUCCGUGAAGUUGGAUUCGCUAGUAAUCGCGCAUCAGCCAUGGCGCGGUGAAUACGUUCCCGGGCCUU